rnacentral:rRNA from 1 species
CACUAAUGUCCUAAAAUCAGCAGAUCUCAGGAGCUAAGCAGGGCUGGGCCUGGUUUGUGUUUGGAUGGGAGACCGCUGUGAAUGCAGGUAGCACAGUGA